GCCAUUGUGGCGAAAUGGUUAUCGCGUCGUUUUCCUACUGCUAGCGCUAAGACGAAGGCUGUGGGUUCGAGUCCCACCAGUGGUU